ensembl:lncRNA
AUUUUGUAAGACAAUCUCAAGAAAUGAUAUCAAGUAUUAAUAAAACCCGCUUAUUGAUAUUAGCAUAAAUGCAAAGCCAAGUAAUAUUAUCAGUAUCGAUGCUGGAACAGUUCCAUCACAUGCUCUUCACAUCUCUGUUUAUCUCUUUCAGGUGAUCUCAAAGAAAAAUGCUCAAGGGGAGUUCAGGGACCAGAGAUUUAAUGGUUGCAGUUUUAUAGUCUUUAUCAGACCAUCAAGGCUGUAAUAGAAAGAUAGGAGUUAUCAUCUCCAAAAGUUUUGUCAUCUCAAUCAACCUUCGAGGGAAAAUCAUCGCAAGAAAGCUUCUGUUGUUUGGGUCACUGAGCGGCUCUUGUUUCUUGACCAAAUCGCUGCAACAUUAAGUGUCAGCAUGGAAGAAGUCAAAAGGAUUUAAAAUAAAUCAACACAAACUUUCAGAGGCUCGUUGACAUGACUGAUAACGGGAGGCCAUCAUGGGGCAAAAGCCAUGUUCAUCCAGACACCUUCCAAACGGACCAAGAUGAGAAACAGAAGAACAUGGAGAUUUUGCAAUUUGAGCUGAGGCAGGCAGGAGCUCUUUGGCAGAAGAGGAGGCCUCCCAAGGGGCUUGGAGGUGAACAGCAGAGCCACCAAGGACAGUGUGCAGGAAUCAGAGUGAUGUUCUCUCUCAUGGGAAGAGAAAGCCGUACAGCAACUACACCAGGGCAGAACCCUCCAUGGGAGAUGACAGCCUGUAAACUGCUGGGACUACCAGAAAACACAAUAAACACCGUGAACCACCGGAAGGAGCCCGCCAGCUGCAGAAAGGCAGCAAGAGGAUCAAAAGAGCAAUGUCCCAGGUUCCGGUGUGAUCCUGUGGCGUCCCAGAGCUGAGAGACCAGUGGCUUGAGCUGUCCACAGAGAAGGAAGGAGCAAGGCCUGCUGAGGACCGUUGACCAGGGAGGAUUUUUGUUGUGGACCAACAAGAAACAUAAUGUAAAGCAGGUGUUUCUGCAGUUGUGAGACAUUUAUAAAAACCAACAUUAUCCAACAAGUCUCCCACUCACAUUCUCAUCCACAUGAUAUGGCAAGGUCUCACACGAAGGACUGCAAAUAGAAAACAUCUCUUUGUACUAGUUGGCUUACAACCUGCACUAGGGCCUCUCUCCCCUUCUGCUGUCUGUGCUUUUCUGUUUAUUUAGGUGUGUGAUUUUGUUUCUGUUUUUACGUUUAGCACAAGUGGAAAGGAAAUGGAAUUUUGUGCAGCUUAGGAGCCUGAGAGCACACUGUGUUUGGAUCUUGGUCCUUUAUUUGUCCUCAUGCCAUAGGUGCAGGUGUUCGCAGGCCAGAUCCUCCACUAGUAGAAACUGCCCCAGCCUCCAAGAGAGCUCCCUCCAUCUGGCCAACACAUUUGAGGAGGUUUGUGAUAUCCAGAGAUGCAGACACAGGGCAGACUCAGGCCAAAUUGUCUCUUAAACUCCUAAACAGGGGUGAGAACUUGCAGCUGAGCAGCAGCCAUUUUCUCCUGGUGACUACCAGGAGGAAUGGAUUGACCAUUGCAUACAGAAAUGCGUCAGCAUACUGUAGAGGCUGGUUCAUUCAGGGUCAUUACUUUAUUGGAAAUGUAAAUUGGGGGGGGAAAAAAAAAGUCUAAUUUAGCCCAUUUUGGAGAGAGGUAGGGAAGUAAAUUAUCAGGGUAACAUCAGGUCUCUUUUCAGGACGGCCCCUACCCAAACACAGAUAGCUUUGCUCCAUCUCUUUCUGUCAACAAGAGAAAUGCUCAACAAGGGAAUAGAGUGGGAUUCACUAGUAUUGCUGAAAUAAAAAGCUUUGUCUUUCUUCUGUGGAAACA